CAUACAUUCAUAUACACAUGUACAGUGGAGUAGCACUAGGUUGAACAAUGCAUUGCUUGUACUUUGAUGUGUUUGAAUCUUUUAUGGUACUGAAGAUUUGCUUAGGGAUGAAAAAUAUUAAAAAUCGUUCGUGCAUAUAUGCACAUUGACCCACCUGUACAAAAAUUGUGGCGCGGCAUGGACAAAAAUUCUACAAUUUCGGACCGAAAAAUA